rnacentral:rRNA from 1 species
GUUUAAAAAAUAAGGUUAAGUUAAUAAGGGCGCACGGUGGAUGCCUUGGCACUAGAAGCCGAAGAAGGACGUGACAAACGACGAAAUGCUUUGGGGAGCUGUAAGUAAGCAAAGAUCCAGAGAUGUCCGAAUGGGGGAACCCACUAGCUAAUGGCUAGUAUCCAUAACUGUUAAGGUUAUGAGAAGGAAGACGCAGUGAACUGAAACAUCUAAGUAGCUGCAGGAAGAGAAAGCAAACGCGAUUGCCUGAGUAGCGGCGAGCGAAAAGGCAGGAGGGCAAACCGAAGAGUUUACUCUUCGGGGUUGUAGGACUGCGCUGUGGGACGACAAGAUUAUAGAAGAAGGCCUUGGGAAGGGUCGCCAAAGAGAGUAAUAGCCUCGUAUUCGAAAUAGUCUUUAACCCUAGCAGUAUCCUGAGUACGGCGAGACACGAGGAAUCUCGUCGGAAUCUGGGAGGACCAUCUCCUAACCCUAAAUACUCACUAGUGACCGAUAGUGAACCAGUACCGUGAGGGAAAGGUGAAAAGCACCCCGGGAGGGGAGUGAAAGAGAACCUGAAACCGUGUGCCUACAAGAAGUUCGAGCCCGUUAAUGGGUGAGAGCGUGCCUUUUGUAGAAUGAACCGGCGAGUUACGUUUAUGUGCGAGGUUAAGUUGAAGAGACGGAGCCGAAGGGAAACCGAGUCUUAAUAGGGCGUAAGUACGUGGACGUAGACCCGAAACCAUGUGACCUACCCAUGAGCAGGUUGAAGGUGCGGUAAGACGCACUGGAGGACCGAACCAGGGCACGUUGAAAAGUGCUUGGAUGACUUGUGGGUAGCGGAGAAAUUCCAAACGAACUUGGAGAUAGCUGGUUCUCUCCGAAAUAGCUUUAGGGCUAGCGUCGAUAUGAAGUCUCUUGGAGGUAGAGCACUGUUUGGGUGAGGGGUCCAUCCCGGAUUACCAAUCUCAGAUAAACUCCGAAUGCCAAUGAGAUAUGAUCGGCAGUCAGACUGCGAGUGCUAAGAUCCGUAGUCGAAAGGGAAACAGCCCAGACCACCAGCUAAGGUCCCCAAAUAACUGUUAAGUGGAAAAGGAUGUGGGGUUGCACAGACAACUAGGAUGUUAGCUUAGAAGCAGCUAUUCAUUCAAAGAGUGCGUAAUAGCUCACUAGUCGAGUGACCCUGCGCCGAAAAUGUACCGGGGCUAAAACAGUUUACCGAAGCUGUGGAUUACCGUUAAGGUAAUGGUAGGAGAGCGUUCUAUGUGUGAUGAAGGUAUACUGUGAAGAGUGCUGGAACGCAUAGAAGUGAGAAUGCCGGUAUGAGUAGCGAAAGACAGGUGAGAAUCCUGUCCACCGUAAGACUAAGGAUUCCAGGGGAAGGCUCGUCCGCCCUGGGUUAGUCGGGACCUAAGGAGAGACCGAAGGGUGUAUCCGAUGGACAACAGGUUGAUAUUCCUGUACUAGAGUAUAUAGUGAUGGAGGGACGCAGUAGGCUAACUAAACCGGACGACUGGAAGAGUCCGGCUAAGCAGUGAGGUGUGAUGUGAGUCAAAUGCUUACAUCUAUAACAUUGAGCUGUGAAGGGGAGCGAAGUUAAGUAGCGAAGUUAGAGACGUCACACUGCCAAGAAAAGCUUCUAGCGAUACGUAUACUCUACCCGUACCGCAAACCGACACAGGUAGUCGAGGCGAGUAGCCUCAGGUGAUCGAGAGAACUCUCGUUAAGGAACUCGGCAAAAUGGCCCCGUAACUUCGGGAGAAGGGGCGCUGACUGAAGGUCAGCCGCAGUGAAUAGGCCCAAGCAACUGUUUAUCAAAAACACAGCUCUCUGCUAAAUCGUAAGAUGAUGUAUAGGGGGUGACGCCUGCCCGGUGCUGGAAGGUUAAGAGGAGUGCUUAGCGCAAGCGAAGGUAUGAAUUGAAGCCCCAGUAAACGGCGGCCGUAACUAUAACGGUCCUAAGGUAGCGAAAUUCCUUGUCGGGUAAGUUCCGACCCGCACGAAAGGCGUAAUGAUUUGGGCACUGUCUCAACGAGAGACUCGGUGAA